rnacentral:lncRNA from 1 species
UUUUCUAAAUACAACUAAAAUCAGAAAACACUGUUUUAGAGUUUUCUAUCGAGAAAACUAUCGCGAAAAAAAAACCACUCGAAAAAGAAAAAGAAGAAAUCAUGGAGAAAGGUUGAAGGUUCGUCGAUCUCUUCUUCUCCUCCUCACCUCUCUCCAUAUCUCUCUCUUCUCUUCACCAUAAUCUUCUUCCUCUUAUUCCUCUCUCUCUUUCCUCUUCACAAAAAUACAUCACCGACUACUUUCAUCUUCGAAAAGGUAAUUGAUCGAUUUCUAUUACUUCUUCAUGUUUCUAUUCAAUCAAUUAUUGAUAUAAUUAUUAGAUCUAAGAAUAAUUUCUACUCAAUCUCUAAUUUUGACAUUUAUCUUCUUAGGUUUUCAACUUUUUGUUGCAAGUGAUUACUUAAUAAUCAAUUAGAAUUAGAGAAAGGUAUUAACAAUUGUUAUUAUCAACAGAUAGUAUUAAAAUUUAGGGUUUUCUUCUCUGGGAUUUGGGGGUUUGACUGAAUUUAACUUAGCUUUUGAACUAGUGUAUUUUCUGGGAUUUUGCGACAUGGGAAUUUUCCCUGGGAUUUUGCGAGCAUGGGUUUAGAAGAUAUGAAUUUUCUCCUCUCAACAGUUUUUGGUUAGAAUAACUUGUUCAGUGAGUUAUUCCAUUUCCUUUAAUUGUUAUGACCAUACAUCCUCCAAUGACAAUUUCUAUCGAACGCAAACUUAAGAAAACAGAGAAGUCUCUAUUAAAUUGUUCUGCAUAUGCUUUAUAUACAUUGGAAGGGCUUGUCCUUGCCGAAUAAACAUUGCCCUUAUUAUUCUCGAUACCUUGAGGAACCUGCAUGAAACGUAAUUGUGCAACGACGUAGACAUUUUGUUUGUUGCAUCAAGCUAGAAAAGUGCAUGCAUGCCAGUCAACAAUUUUAGAAGAUGUGACUCCUUGAAAAUUCAUAAUACAAGUACUGUAUGAUGUGAUUGUUUUUAACCAUUAUACUUGAGAGAGCCAAUGAAGAGCAUAGGAAGAAUGAACAAAGUUUAAGGUUUUGGUUGGAAAGAGCCUGUUAUAAAACGAUCCUGGCACCCCUGCCACAAAACUUGGUCCAACUUCUUGUCCAUUUUCUGACCUGAAUUUCUUAAAGAAGUAAGGAAUCGAUUUAAAGAUGGUGUUAAAAUCAUUUUCUGGAAGAUCAUUUAAAAACACUUGAAACUCAGGUGGCGAACGUCCCAAUUUCUGGAAGAUCAUUUAUCAUGUUCAACAUGAUAAAUUUCAUAAGUUGAAGCUUAAUAAGGGUAUGAAUUAUCAAGUUUGGAUCGAUUAAUCGGAUUUUUUGUUAAAUGUUACUAUGGCUCCUGUAGGUAUGAAAAUGCCUAGAAAAGUGAGUUAUUCCAUUUCCUUUAAUUGUUAUGGCCAAAGUAAGUAUAGCUGCAAAUCAUAUCAUUUGUUGUUUGUGUACUGGGAUUGCAACUUGCAAGAAAAUGAUCUAAAUAGACUUGUUUGGGGCUCCAUGGACCAUGAAAUAUUGAGUUUAAGCUGUAUUUUUUCUAUAUUGCAAUGGUUUUGCAUGUGCAUAAUGUUUUUGCGUAUAUACUACAAUAUAUACUACAAAUGCAUGUGCAUUUUUCUGAAAUGAUUAACACUCUUUCUAAUCGUAAUGUAGUGAAAUGGCACAAGCUUUGCCCAACAGUUCUACGCAAGGUUCAUCAAAGUGAUUCCAGUUCCAGUGAUGAUGAUAUGAUAGAUUUACUUAUGAUGAGAUAUAUUCUAGAAUGUGAAAGUCUUUUCGUGGAUAAGAUUCCUUGUAGGACAUCUAUGCUUAGUGGCAAGAAAUACAUAGAGUAUGUUACAAGAGAAGGAUUAGUAGUGGAAGAUGAGUUGGACCUUGGCGUGGUACAAGAGGGUAUUCAAGUAGAUAUGUCCCAACAGAACCAGAUGAAUGCAGUUAGAGAUGGUAUUACAAAUGAGAUGUGGAAUGACUACAAUUGUCGUCGUUAAUUCUUUAUAUAUUUAGUAUUUAGCUUAUUUUUUAGUGUUGAAUUUGUCAUAUGUAGUUUUAUGUAUUGGUAUUUUGGAUUAUGUAAACAAUGUUUCAUUAUUGUAAGGAUUUUGUAGAAUGCACUUUAUUAUUU